UGGGGAAUCUUGCGCAAUGGGCGAAAGCCUGACGCAGCAACGCCGCGUGCGGGAUGAAGGCCUUCGGGUUGUAAACCGCUUUCAGCAGGGACGAAACUGACGGUACCUGCAGAAGAAGCCCCGGCUAACUACGUGCCAGCAGCCGCGGUAAUACGUAGGGGGCUAGCGUUAUCCGGAUUCAUUGGGCGUAAAGCGCGCGUAGGCGGGCCGUUAAGUCAGAUGUGAAAACCGGGGGCUUAACCCGCGGCCUGCAUCUGAAACUGGCAGCCUCGAGUCUGGUAGAGGAAAGUGGAAUUCCCAGUGUAGCGGUGAAAUGCGCAGAUAUUGGGAGGAACACCAGUGGCGAAGGCGGCUUUCUGGGCCACGACUGACGCUGAGGCGCGAAAGCUAGGGGAGAAAACA
rnacentral:rRNA from 1 species